rnacentral:misc_RNA from 1 species
CAAAUCUAACUUUUGUAACUCUUUGGCGUGUUAAAACCCAAACUUACAAAAUAUUAAACCAUGUGAAUCGCACAAAUGCCCUAAAAAGCAUUUGCUGUAUAAUAUAUUAACGUCUGAUUAAAAUGUCUGAUUAAACACAAAAACAAAAAUA